rnacentral:SRP_RNA from 1 species
UCGUGCUAGGCGGGGAGCUAGCGGUGCCCUGAACCUGCAAUCCGCUACAGCAGGGUUGAAUCCCCGCCCGAGGACGUUGUCUGGUGGGACUACUCGGGCUAAGCGGCGUUGACGGCCGGGUCCUACGCGGCAGAGUACUAUGAAUCCCGUCAGGUCUGAGAGGAAGCAGCGGUAAAUAGUGGCCUCUGGGUGCCGUAGGGUUACCUGGUUUGAGCUGGCUGGUCGGAGCAAGCCAUGAGGCACGGUCAACGGCGGGUGCACGA